ACUUUCUUUUAUAAUUAAACUUCUUGCUGCGCGGAGCAACACUAAAGGAUUUAAAUAUUUUAAAUGUAGAUAAAUAUUUAAGAACGUGCUGGUGGAAAAUUAUUAUAGAUGAGGUAGCAGAACUUUUCUCGUGGAAGGGAACUGGUACCAAAAGCAGAGCUAUUGGUUUGGCAACGACUGCGGCAAUAAGAAGUGCUUUUCGUCAAAAAUUUAACUCCGACGAAGAAGUUUUUA